rnacentral:lncRNA from 1 species
UCGCCUCAGGAGGCUCCAUCCAGUCCGGUCUCAUUGUCCUCACACACAACUCGACUCCGAGUGUGAGCGUGCGCGUGUGUGUGCAUGAAUCUGUGUGAGGUUGGCGGGUGCAGCCGGUCAUUUCUACACCACAGCUUCAGCAGCGGAGCGCCGGGUUCCACUCUGAGGGUGCGUCAGACAGGCCAUGCCCUUCACCUGGGCCUGCUUCUGCGGCCUGAACGGGUCCUGCUGCAGACGACAGAAGAAGAAAAAAGAGCAAGUGGAGGAAAAGGAGGGUGAGGAGGUAGAACAGGUAGAACGAUGCAGGGAUCAGGAGACUGAGGUGUGAAUGUGGCGCAGGCAGCUGUGCUCUCCUCACCUUCACCAGGGUUUUAUCCUUUAACAGACCGGAAUGUGCAGCCCGGGUUACUGCUGCUUAGCACAGACUGUCUGACUGUCUCACUAUAACAGAGAUGCUAAAGGGGCUUCAUCAGGCUUUUAUUGAAAAUUAAGAAUUUAUAUUUGAACCGAUACUGCAUCUUUUCCAAUAGUACAUGUGACUAAGGCUUCAGGUUCCAUAAACUCAACUACUGUAAUACUGUAUCAGAAUGAUGAUAAUGAUCCCUAUUACCCAUCCCUGCUCACUCUCUUCUCUUGGCAGCUGACUGGGAACUUUGCUUCUGCUGAUGUUAUUCCAAAAACACAUUUCUUAUCAGUUUGAUUCAUUUAUUGCCAUAGCUGUACUGUAUAAGGCGUGCAGAGACUCUAGUCAACCAUUAUUUCUCUCAGUCACACUUCUCAACGAGGCCCCAUCUCUCCCCUCGCCUCCUUAAUCGCAGCUCCACGGACGCU